rnacentral:lncRNA from 1 species
CCUGGAAAUAGUCUUCCUUCUUAGAUGAAUCCAUAGGGGAUUGUGACAGAGUUUGAGUAGGAGUUUUCCUGGUUUCCUGAGUAGAAACUGGAGGUAUAGAGGUUUUGGGUUUUUGUUUGUUUCUAAAUGUUGUAGCGGUUGGGAGAGAAUAUGUUUGUCUGGAUUUGUGACCUGUAGAGGAAGAUGGUUGGAAUAAGGGCCGAUAUGGGGUGAAAGGAGGAGGGCUGAGAGUAUCAGGGAAUGAGGAUUCCUUUUCUUUUAUUUUUGACUCGAUAUAAUGAUCCAAGUCAUGGAGUUGUGCCUUCAGCUUCUUGAUCUCUCUUUCUAUGGCAUGGGAAGCUUCACCAAAUG